rnacentral:rRNA from 1 species
GAAGGUGGCCUGUGAGGGUUGCUGGAGGUAUCAGAAGUGCGAAUGCUGACAUAAGUAACGAUAAAGCGGGUGAAAAGCCCGCUCGCCGGAAGACCAAGGGUUCCUGUCCAACGUUAAUCGGGGCAGGGUGAGUCGACCCCUAAGGCGAGGCCGAAAGGCGUAGUCGAUGGGAAACAGGUUAAUAUUCCUGUACUUGGUGUUACUGCGAAGGGGGGACGGAGAAGGCUAUGUUGGCCGGGCGACGGUUGUCCCGGUUUAAGCGUGUAGGCUGGUUUUCCAGGCAAAUCCGGAAAACUGAGGCGUGAUGACGAGGCACUACGGUGCUGAAGCAACAAAUGCCCUGCUUCCAGGAAAAGCCUCUAAGCAUCAGGUAACAUCAAAUCGUACCCCAAACCGACACAGGUGGUCAGGUAGAGAAUACCAAGGCGCUUGAGAGAACUCGGGUGAAGGAACUAGGCAAAAUGGUGCCGUAACUUCGGGAGAAGGCACGCUGACACGUAGGUGAAGUGAUUUACUCAUGGAGCUGAAGUCAGUCGAAGAUACCAGCUGGCUGCAACUGUUUAUUAAAAACACAGCACUGUGCAAACACGAAAGUGGACGUAUACGGUGUGACGCCUGCCCGGUGCCGGAAGGUUAAUUGAUGGGGUCAGCGCAAGCGAAGCUCCUGAUCGAAGCCCCGGUAAACGGCGGCCGUAACUAUAACGGUCCUAAGGUAGCGAAAUUCCUUGUCGGGUAAGUUCCGACCUGCACGAAUGGCGUAAUGAUGGCCAGGCUGUCUCCACCCGAGACUCAGUGAAAUUGAACUCGCUGUGAAGAUGCAGUGUACCCGCGGCAAGACGGAAAGACCCCGUGAACCUUUACUAUAGCUUGACACUGAACAUUGAGCCUUGAUGUGUAGGAUAGGUGGGAGGCUUUGAAGUGUGGACGCCAGUCUGCAUGGAGCCGACCUUGAAAUACCACCCUUUAAUGUUUGAUGUUCUAACGUGGACCCGUGAUCCGGGUUGCGGACAGUGUCUGGUGGGUAGUUUGACUGGGGCGGUCUCCUCCUAAAGAGUAACGGAGGAGCACGAAGGUUGGCUAAUCCUGGUCGGACAUCAGGAGGUUAGUGCAAUGGCAUAAGCCAGCUUGACUGCGAGCGUGACGGCGCGAGCAGGUGCGAAAGCAGGUCAUAGUGAUCCGGUGGUUCUGAAUGGAAGGGCCAUCGCUCAACGGAUAAAAGGUACUCCGGGGAUAACAGGCUGAUACCGCCCAAGAGUUCAUAUCGACGGCGGUGUUUGGCACCUCGAUGUCGGCUCAUCACAUCCUGGGGCUGAAGUAGGUCCCAAGGGUAUGGCUGUUCGCCAUUUAAAGUGGUACGCGAGCUGGGUUUAGAACGUCGUGAGACAGUUCGGUCCCUAUCUGCCGUGGGCGCUGGAGAACUGAGGGGGGCUGCUCCUAGUACGAGAGGACCGGAGUGGACGCAUCACUGGUGUUCGGGUUGUCAUGCCAAUGGCACUGCCCGGUAGCUAAAUGCGGAAGAGAUAAGUGCUGAAAGCAUCUAAGCACGAAACUUGCCCCGAGAUGAGUUCUCCCUGAGACUUAGAGUCUCCUGAAGGAACGUUGAAGACGACGACGUUGAUAGGCCGGGUGUGUAAGCGCAGCGAUGCGUUGAGCUAACCGGUACUAAUGAACCGUGAGGCUUAACCUUACAACGCCGAAG